CUCAUGUUGUCCUCGGGUCAAAUUUGACCCGUUUUCAAAGUUUCUAUGUCAAAAAUUUGGGUUUCUUUCAACCAAAUUGUCCAAAAAUACCACUGAUGGUUCCAUACAUGAAACAGGCUGUGGUUAUCCAUCAACAUAUGUUCUUCUGAUCACACAAGGGCACACG